UCUGGCAUUUAUCGUACCCAACCAACCAGGCUUGACCGCGAGUCCAUUGAAUACCCCAUCGCUUCCCCGGCGGAUACCAAUCAGGGUUUCGUUCUCCUUGGUUCUUCGAUCCAGGCGACGGAAUCGGAGCGGUUUGGAGUUUGAAUCGCUUGGUUCGUGCGUGUCUUGGUGGGGUUUGGGAUCCAUCGACCGAUCGAGUUAGUGUUUGGCCUCGAAGAUGUUCGGAAGAGCGCCGAAGAAGAGCAACAACACGAAGUACUACGAGGUACUUGGGGUGCCCAAGAGCGCGUCGCAGGAUGAUCUGAAGAAGGCCUACCGGAAGGCCGCCAUCAAGAACCACCCAGACAAGGGCGGCGACCCCGAGAAGUUCAAGGAGUUAGCUCAGGCUUAUGAAGUUCUGAGUGAUCCUGAAAAGCGUGAGAUCUAUGAUCAGUAUGGUGAAGAUGCCCUCAAGGAGGGAAUGGGUGGUGGCGGUGGCCAUGACCCAUUCGAUAUUUUCUCGUCUUUCUUUGGCGGGAGUCCCUUUGGAGGAGGAAGCAGCAGGGGACGAAGGCAGAGGAGAGGGGAGGACGUGAUCCACCCUCUGAAGGUGUCUUUGGAAGACCUCUACAAUGGAACUUCUAAGAAGCUGUCACUCUCACGAAAUGUCAUCUGCCGGAAGUGCAAGGGCAAGGGCUCAAAAUCUGGUGCUUCGAUGAAGCGCCUGAUACCGUCACUGGAGACAUUGUGUUCAUCCUUCAACAGAAGGAUCACCCCAAGUUCAAGAGAAAGGGGGAUGAUAUCUUUUAUGAGCAUACGCUGUCCCUCACCGAGGCUCUUUGUGGCUUCCAGUUUGUUUUGACUCACCUCGACAACAGGCAGCUGCUCAUUAAAUCGAAUCCUGGUGAAGUUGUUAAGCCUGAUCAAUUCAAGGCAAUCAAUGAUGAGGGUAUGCCAAUGUACCAGCGGCCCUUCAUGAGGGGGAAGCUCUACAUUCACUUCACCGUUGACUUCCCCGAUUCAUUGACACCGGAUCAGUGCAAGGCUCUCGAGGCGGUGCUCCCUCCAAGGCAGGCGUUACAGAUGACAGAGAUGGAGCUGGAUGAAUGCGAGGAGACGAUACUAAACAAUGUUAACAUCGAGGAGGAGAUGCGGAGGAAACAGGCCCAGUAUCAGGAGGCAUACGAUGAGGAUGACGAUGUUCAUGGCGGUGCUCGAGUGCAGUGCGCGCAACAGUAAGAAGUUCAAAUUUGUAUCGGCUUAAUCAUCUUUUUGAUGUAAAUUUACACCAAAUUGAUGAGCUAGAGAAGCUACUACGAACCUGGAUUUUGCUGCCUACGUAAUUAUUUUUUUUAUUCCUAUCAAACAUCUGCAAUUCAGAAUUGGUUGAUCA